UACGUAGGUGGCAAGCGUUGUCCGGAAUUAUUGGGCGUAAAGCGCGCGUAGGCGGUCCUUUAAGUCUGAUGUGAAAGCCCACGGCUCAACCGUGGAGGGUCAUUGGAAACUGGGGGACUUGAGUACAGAAGAGAAGAGUGGAAUUCCACGUGUAGCGGUGAAAUGCGUAGAUAUCUGGAGGAACACCGGUGGCGAAGGCGGCAUCCUGGACCAAUUCUGACGCUGAGGAGCGAAAGCCAGGGGAGCAAACGGG
rnacentral:rRNA from 1 species